ACCUGGAUUAUUUUUACAGUGUGAAUAACCCUUGUGUUUUCUCCGAUGGAGUUGAUUCAUCCAAAAUGUGGUCUUCCUCUCUUCCUACUGCCCUCCACUUACCAUUAUUGUCUUUACUCCUCAUGAUAUGGCUAAAGUACAAUUUCAGUUUACUGUAGUUCUUGGCUUCUAGGGAGAGUUCAGAUUUGAUUUAGAACUCAUUGAUUUGUCUUUUUAGUAGUCCACAGCAACCGCAGAACUCUUCUCCAGCACUUUCAUAGUCAGAAGACUAAUGGACAAGAAGAUAUUAAUUACUCUUAGCAUUUCAGCGUACUCCUUUUGGAUGACUGUUAUACUGCACUUGAAUGAUGGACUGAGCAAGAUAUAAGAAAAAGUCAUGGAAAUAUUACCUGAUUGAUUUCAUUGCAGAUCUUCAACACAAUAAGGAAGCUCAGAUCAAUUUGUAUAGAAGAGGCUUUUAAUAGAAGGCUAUCAUGUUACCAGAGAUGAAGGAAAGAGAUGGGAGGUGAGAGAGGUUGACUGAUCUGAGAAGCAUGAAAGUUUCCUGUGGGCUCCUUUCUGUUGGCGAAGUGUCUUAUUUGGAACUCUUGGGUCUUGACACCAUUGGAACUCUCGAAGGUUUUGCAGCUCCAGGUUGUCUUAUCCCAUUUUUCUCGAUGUGCUUCUGCUUGAGGUCAGAACACAUGACAGCUUCCACAUUUGAAUCUGAAUUUCCUUGUUGUUUUUUUUUUUUUAACAUUACAUGCACCAAAUUGCAAUCUCCUCCGACUGAUUUCUCUUCCUGCUCCCCAUGUUUGGAAUAAAGUGAUCAACAUUCCCGUCUUCACAAACAAGAUUGUCAGGACUCCUCUAAAAGGAUGAGAUGAGUAAAUCCUGCUUUCUGUGAAGUUAAAAACUACGUAGAGGAAAUAAGCAUAUGUAUACAACAGGAUGUUUUAUUCAAUCCAUCUGUUAGUAUCAAGAGAAACUGGGCAAAAAAGAUUGGGCGAAGGGAUAGGUUUGUAUGUUGUUGUUGUUUUUAAAAAAAUAAACAUGUG